rnacentral:rRNA from 1 species
GAUGAACGCUGGCGGCGUGCCUAAUACAUGCAAGUCGAGCGAACGGACGAGAAGCUUGCUUCUCUGAUGUUAGCGGCGGACGGGUGAGUAACACGUGGAUAACCUACCUGUAAGACUGGGAUAACUUCGGGAAACCGGAGCUAAUACCGGAUAAUAUUUUGAACCGCAUGGUUCAAAAGUGAAAGACGGUCUUGCUGUCACUUAUAGAUGGAUCCGCGCUGCAUUAGCUAGUUGGUAAGGUAACGGCUUACCAAGGCAACGAUGCAUAGCCGACCUGAGAGGGUGAUCGGCCACACUGGAACUGAGACACGGUCCAGACUCCUACGGGAGGCAGCAGUAGGGAAUCUUCCGCAAUGGGCGAAAGCCUGACGGAGCAACGCCGCGUGAGUGAUGAAGGUCUUCGGAUCGUAAAACUCUGUUAUUAGGGAAGAACAUAUGUGUAAGUAACUGUGCACAUCUUGACGGUACCUAAUCAGAAAGCCACGGCUAACUACGUGCCAGCAGCCGCGGUAAUACGUAGGUGGCAAGCGUUAUCCGGAAUUAUUGGGCGUAAAGCGCGCGUAGGCGGUUUUUUAAGUCUGAUGUGAAAGCCCACGGCUCAACCGUGGAGGGUCAUUGGAAACUGGAAAACUUGAGUGCAGAAGAGGAAAGUGGAAUUCCAUGUGUAGCGGUGAAAUGCGCAGAGAUAUGGAGGAACACCAGUGGCGAAGGCGACUUUCUGGUCUGUAACUGACGCUGAUGUGCGAAAGCGUGGGGAUCAAACAGGAUUAGAUACCCUGGUAGUCCACGCCGUAAACGAUGAGUGCUAAGUGUUAGGGGGUUUCCGCCCCCUAGUGCUGCAGCUAACGCAUUAAGCACUCCGCCUGGGGAGUACGACCGCAAGGUUGAAACUCAAAGGAAUUGACGGGGACCCGCACAAGCGGUGGAGCAUGUGGUUUAAUUCGAAGCAACGCGAAGAACCUUACCAAAUCUUGACAUCCUUUGACAACUCUAGAGAUAGAGCCUUCCCCUUCGGGGGACAAAGUGACAGGUGGUGCAUGGUUGUCGUCAGCUCGUGUCGUGAGAUGUUGGGUUAAGUCCCGCAACGAGCGCAACCCUUAAGCUUAGUUGCCAUCAUUAAGUUGGGCACUCUAAGUUGACUGCCGGUGACAAACCGGAGGAAGGUGGGGAUGACGUCAAAUCAUCAUGCCCCUUAUGAUUUGGGCUACACACGUGCUACAAUGGACAAUACAAAGGGCAGCGAAACCGCGAGGUCAAGCAAAUCCCAUAAAGUUGUUCUCAGUUCGGAUUGUAGUCUGCAACUCGACUACAUGAAGCUGGAAUCGCUAGUAAUCGUAGAUCAGCAUGCUACGGUGAAUACGUUCCCGGGUCU